rfam:Bombyx mori DNA, contig: Bm_scaf135_contig39398, strain: p50T/Dazao, build 2, whole genome shotgun sequence.
UUAACUCAAAUUUGUAUGGAGUUGGAACAGCGCCCCUAGCGGCAAACGAGGGAAGCUGUUCUAACUCCAUACAAAUUGGAGAAA